rnacentral:rRNA from 1 species
UGCCAGCAGCCGCGGUAAUACGUAGGGGGCGAGCGUUAUCCGGAAUCAUUGGGCGUAAAGGGUGUGUAGGCGGUUUGUUAAGCGAGAGGUGAAAGGCUAUGGCUCAACCAUAGUAAGCCUUUCGAACUGGCGAACUUGAGUGCAGGAGAGGAGAGCGGAAUUCCUAGUGUAGCGGUGAAAUGCGUAGAUAUUAGUAGGAAUGCCGAUGGGGAAGCCAGCCCACUGGACAGAUACUGACGCUAAAGCGCGAAAGCGUGGGUAGCAAACAGGAUUAGAUA